GACGGCACGAUCAUGUGAGGUGCCCCGCGCGAGCGGGGAGAAUCGGGAAGCCGGUGCGAAUCCGGCACGGGCCCGCCGCGGUGACCGGGGAGCCACCGUCCACGCGUACGCGCAGCCACUGGCCCGCCCGGGCCGGGAAGGCGGACGGCCAGGCGUCGAUCCGGGAGUCCGAAGACCGGCCUCGCGUCCGGUGCCCGC
rnacentral:ncRNA from 1 species